AUACUCUUGACCUUUCUUUUUAUUUUGAAUUUCAAUUUCAUCUUAUACAAAUAUUGGCCUUAAUGGGAGAAGUAUUUUUUUCCUGUUAUCAUAAUGUGAUAAUGAGAAGUUGUAUUUAAAAACAAAUAAUAAAAGAUAGAACAAAUAUAAACAUUUGUAUCACUUCACUGUAUAAAUUUAUAAUAUGAUAUAUACAGUGCUCAUAGCCUCUUGUAAAAUUUCUAAGGUAUCAAAUAAAUAAUAAAACAUUCAAUACAUAUUUCAGUUCCCAUAUUAUUUCAGUAAAUUAAAAAUUAAACCCUGUCAAUAAUUAAUUUUAGUAAAACUAAUUUAAAUAUUUAAAAAAUGCAUUGAUUAAAAAGCUAGAUACCUCAAAAAAAAAAAAAAAAAAAAAAAAAAAA